rnacentral:rRNA from 1 species
UACGAAGGGGGCUAGCGUUGUUCGGACUCACUGGGCGUAAAGCGCACGUAGGCGGCGCGUUAAGUCAGGGGUGAAAUCCUGGAGCUCAACUCCAGAACUGCCUUUGAUACUGGCGUGCUUGAGUGUGGGAGAGGUUGGUGGAACUCCGAGUGUAGAGGUGAAAUUCGUAGAUAUUCGGAAGAACACCAGUGGCGAAGGCGGCCAACUGGCCCAUUACUGACGCUGAAGUGCGAAAGCGUGGGGAGCAAACAGG